UAAAAUGAAUAAAAACACAUAGAAAGAGUAUGUACACUCGACUAUUUUCUUUUUCUAGUUACGCAGCUGGAUUGGUUUUCUCUGUGUGCGUAUUCUUUAUGGUGAAUAAUACAAUGAAAGUCACGUAUCUCGUAUGAGCACGGCGAGGUGACGAGAGCACGUGCUCACGCGCGCGCGCGCCUCUUUACAAAGGGAUCACAAAAUGAGUAAGGUAUCUUCAAAUGAUUUCAAAGAAGGACAUUCGUUAAACAUUAAGCUCUAUAUUGCUGUUUUGUAUCGCAGUAAUAUGUGGAAAGACGUCAGUUCGGUGCAAAGCUCGCAAUCCUUCUUAACUCACCUCAGUUUAUCGGAAUUAUCGUGUUAAACCGAGUGGUGACCAUGAAUAACCACUCCAGUGCAAAGGAUUAAACAUAAGAAUAACUAUUGCGAAAAUGCGACGAUUGUGACAGGAUGAAAUAUGUACGUUGAAGAAGUGCGGGUGCUUGGAAUGCUGUCGGUGAGAUGUAGAGAAGACCGUAAACUAGAAAUCGCUACCUAACUUAACUUUUAAGGUUGAAACUUGUGGAGCACCGAUUUAUCACGAAAGGAUUCGGAGAAUGCGAGAGGUUAAAUUGUGCUUACGUGAUCAUUCCUGUAUAAAAAAAUAAAUACGCGCUACCUACACCCACAGUUGGCAACGCACUAUACGCGAUAAUAACAUUUCCGCUCGUAGUAGUUGUAGAAGCUCAGGGUUCUCGCUAAACAAAGAGUCAAAAAACGAGGGUAGAAAAAGAUGAGAGAGAACAUUUUAUUAUUCCUCCGACACGCGCUAAGAGAACAUGAUUGUGUGAAAACACAGAGACGCAAACAAUCGUUUCUGUCUGAUCCCCCCUCCCUCGUCGCACCUGGUCAAUUCUCCAAGCCUAAGGAUUGUUAUCUCGGUAGUCGGUUGCAAUCUUCCUGUUUGAUAUAAAUCAAGAUUUCAUUUUCUUAUCUACCAGUGUUAACGAGUUAGAACGCAAUUUAACGAUCUAAUGUUUUAUUAAUUGUAAUUAUUAAAUGAAUGAUGUAAUUAGGGGACAAGAUGACCAUCAAGACGAUCAUAUUAUACAUUUAGGAUUUUCACGAAUUCGGCGAACCGUUGCACGCGUGUUACUUCGAAAAGUUACCUUUCCAACGUUCUUUCGUUAUCUACAAAGGGAGGGGAAGCAAUUGUUUUUUUCUAUACCUUUCACAAUGUGUGGAAAGCGAUACGCAGUUUCAUGUAAUUUCAUUUGAACAAAUGUGUAUUAGAUGUCUCGAGAGAAAAUGCAUAUGAUUAAAUCGUUUUCUCUAAAUCUUAAUAUUACAAUAUUUCUAUAUAACAAUUACCCUGUAUAUGUAUAUGUUUGCACUCGUUAUCACGAUUGGUUGAUGGGAACGAUUAUAAGAGAUAAAGAGAUUAAGAAUCAUGCGUGAGGUGAUAAAUGAAAAUAGAACGCGUUCCAUAUAUAUUUGUACGUGAAUCUAUCAAUUUAUAUGCAAUAGAAUCAUUGAACAUUAAAA